CUGAGAGAGAGAGAGAGAGAGAGAGAGACAGAGACAUGUCGGUUAGGAAGAGUAACAGAGAGAGAAAGCGUGAGACAGAGCUGCUUCAGGUUCCUGUGCAGAGGCUGAGAGGCAGGAACAGAGCUGUGACGUCUCCUCGCUCAUCUACCUGCUAGAGGUACAGACACAGAAGCCCCAAGGACUCUGCACAGGACAGGACCGGAGCAGAGGACGCUGGGCCGCUGAAGCUCGAGUUAUGCUGCAGACCAUUUAUGAAUCUGACUCCAGCAUCAGUGCAGAGUGGAGGAGGAGACGCCUGGACUCUCACAGCACGGCCAUGGCUUCAGAUCCAGAGGUGUUGUCGGCGGUGGGCAGUAUGUCGGAGGUUGGUAUGUUGGACUGGGACUGUGAUUCAGACGAUUGGGAGAAGCAGUUACAGCGCGAGCUGCUUCUGAUCCAGAGACAGCAGCAGAUCCAGAAACAGCUGCUCAUCUCCGACUUCCAGAAACAGCAUCAGAACCUGCUGAGACAACAUCAGGCCCAGCUCGAGGAGCACAUCAAGCUCCAGCAGGCUCUGUUAACUCUGCGGCAGCAGCAGGAGGUGUUUGUUGAGGAGGAGAGAGAGGAGGUGAGGGAGGAUGACAAGGAGCUUCACAGGAGGGAGACACAGAAACACCAGCAUCACAGACGGAAGGAGCCAUCUAAAGAGAGUGAGAAAACAACUGCCUCUGCCAGUCAUUUCAACUUUCAUUUAAGCGAUAAUUCCUGUAGUAUUUGUCUUUAUGACACACCUCUGACAUGUAUACGUUUAGAAAAAUAAUGACAGUGCUUCUGUUUUUGCUUGUCUUUUUUUAUGUCCAGUUACAUUUCAC
rnacentral:lncRNA from 1 species